AUUGAACGCUGGCGGCAGGCCUAACACAUGCAAGUCGAGCGGAAGAAGGGAGCUUGCUCCUGGAUUCAGCGGCGGACGGGUGAGUAAUGCCUAGGAAUCUGCCUGGUAGUGGGGGAUAACGUCCGGAAACGGGCGCUAAUACCGCAUACGUCCUGAGGGAGAAAGUGGGGGAUCUUCGGACCUCACGCUAUCAGAUGAGCCUAGGUCGGAUUAGCUAGUUGGUGGGGUAAAGGCCUACCAAGGCGACGAUCCGUAACUGGUCUGAGAGGAUGAUCAGUCACACUGGAACUGAGACACGGUCCAGACUCCUACGGGAGGCAGCAGUGGGGAAUAUUGGACAAUGGGCGAAAGCCUGAUCCAGCCAUGCCGCGUGUGUGAAGAAGGUCUUCGGAUUGUAAAGCCCUUUAAGUUGGGAGGAAGGGCAGUAAGUUAAUACCCUGCUGUUUUGACGUUACCAACAGAAUAAGCACCGGCUAACUUCGUG
rnacentral:rRNA from 1 species